UAUGCGCACCCUAUAAGAGCUCUUCCUCUUUUGAUAACUGUCCAUGCAGGAAAGGUCUUACUUGCGAUCCUGAUAUUUUGCCACUUGGUAAGGUCUCCGUCAAAUCAAAGAGUCGUGGAACUUGUAAAGAGCCAGGAAGAAAGUAACAUCUGAGUCAGUAAACAGAAAAAAGUAGCUCUAAA